CCGACAGCCCGCCGCUGAUUGGGUAACGGUGUCAACCAAUCACCUUCCGCGCAUCCUGCGGGACGAUUGCAACCGGCUCCUAGCCUAUCGUCAACCGCCUUUCUGUGGCGUUUGCACAAGAUUAGCCAAUCAGAGGCCUGUUGCGAGGUCGUCCCAGGAAAGAAGUGAUGAUUGGCGUGGCGUGGGGGAGGGGAGCUCCUAACGAGAAGGGAGUGACCAGGGAAGGGCGGAACUGGGACGUUAGGGGGCCAUAGAGCGCGUGCGCAGGAGUUUAGAAGGUUCCAGGUCCGCUGAGCCGUUUGGACAGAGAACCUGCGGGAGGGGUACGGUAUCGCGAUGUUUGGCGAGGCCCGGGAGUGGGAGGGGGCUGCCUGUAGAGCUGUCGUCCGUUUGUCUGCGCACCCUCAGCUGCCGGUGCUACGUGCCUGAAGAUGAUCGCUUUAUCCUUUGACUCUCAGCCUAAGGAUUCCCUGUUCCGAAAGUCGUCUUCAUCGCCUGUUUGGAGGAAGUCCCCACCGUCCCCAUUCCUCUCCAUUCUUGCCCAGCAGUUGCACGCUCGCUCGGGUACUGUGCCCCCACUCGCACUAUAACAUAUCCUCCAGUAAACCACUGUGGCAGGCAUGUCUGUUUUGUGCACCACUUUAUACCCAGCACGUAACGGUUCCUUGUGCUCCACUCCCUAAUUUUCAAGCAACAAUUACUUUUCGAGUAAUGUAUGCCUAAAUAAUUAAACAUAAUAAUGUGCCGUAAUAAUAAAGAUGAGAAUAAAGAGAUUUUCCUGGUGAUCCAA